rnacentral:lncRNA from 1 species
UUAAAACAAACAUCACAGUAGAAUGGUAUGCUUAAUUAAUAGGUAUGUACGGUAAGAACAUGCAUGAAAUAUGAAUAUCACAAUGUAUGUACGUAUGAAUUAUGAUUCUUUAACGCUUCAUGAAGCUCGCAGGCUAACCUUCUCGACUACGAUGAGCGAUCUUUCGAACGGAGACUUUGAGAAGUCGAAAGAAACUACGGAAGAUCCGACGUUUUACGUCGC